CGGAAACACGGUGCCGGAUAACGUCCGGCGGGGGCGACCCCAGGGAAAGUGCCACAGAAAGCAAACCGCUCCGCCUCGCGGAGUAAGGGUGAAAGGGUGGGGUAAGAGCCCACCGCGGACAUGGCGACAUGGACGGCACGGUAAACCCCACCGGGAGCAAAACCGAAUAGGGAUGACACGGGCGCGCAAGCGUCCAGCCGGUUUCCAGGCCGGUCAUCCGGGUGGGUUGCACGAGGCUGCGCGCAAGCGCAGUCCCAGAUGAAUGGCUGCCACGUUCCGCUUCCUCGGAGGCGGAG
rnacentral:misc_RNA from 2 species